rnacentral:rRNA from 1 species
AUUGAACGCUGGCGGCAGGCCUAACACAUGCAAGUCGAACGAGUGGCGGACGGGUGAGUAAUGUCUGGGAAACUGCCCGAUGGAGGGGGAUAACUACUGGAAACGGUAGCUAAUACCGCAUACCAUCGGAUGUGCCCAGAUGGGAUUAGCUAGUAGGUGGGGUACCGGCCCACCUAGGCGACGAUCACUAGCUGGUCUGAGAGGAUGAACAGCCACACUGUAACUGAGACACGGUCCAGACUCCUACGGAAGGCAGCAGUGGGGAAGAUUGCACAAUGGGCGCAAGCCUGAUGCAGCCAGGCCGCGUGUAUGAAGAAGGCCUGCGGGUUUUAAAGUACUUUCAGCGAGGAGGCGUUACUCGCAGAAGAAGCACCGGCUAACUCCGUGCCAGCAGCCGCGGUAAUUC